rnacentral:snRNA from 1 species
GAAAAUAAGCAUAAUCUGGUUUGACAUCUGCUGAUCACCAAGGUUAUUUCAGCUGAUCUGCCUGGCUAAGUGGAUGUCCCUUCCUCCUUCACCACUCCAUGUAUGUCCCUCCCAAAGCUGCAUGCUUGAUGAAAGAGGACAAACCCAAAUGGAAGAGAUGUAUUUCAGAAGCU